UAUUGGCCUGGUUCACUCAGACAACAAAAUGAAACUAUAUUUAAAUGGUGGAGUUUCUGUUUUCCGUUUGAUUGAGCCGUGCCAAUAUC